rnacentral:rRNA from 1 species
GACGAACGCUGGCGGCGUGCUUAACACAUGCAAGUCGAACGCGCCUGUCCUCUGGGUUUCUGGGGGGUGGGUGAGUGGCGAACGGGUGAGUAACACGUGAGUAACCUGCCCCCUUCUUCGGGAUAACGGUCUGAAAGGGCUGCUAAUACCGGGUAUUCACUGGUCUCCGCAUGGGGUCUGGUGGAAAGGUUUUUUUCUGGUGGGGGAUGGGCUCGCGGCCUAUCAGCUUGUUGGUGGGGUGAUGGCCCACCAAGGCUUUGCCGGGUAGCCGGCCUGAGAGGGUGACCGGUCACAUUGGGACUGAGAUACGGCCCAGACUCCUACGGGAGGCAGCAGUGGGGAAUAUUGCACAAUGGGCGCAAGCCUGAUGCAGCGACGCCGCGUGAGGGAUGGAGGCCUUCGGGUUGUGAACCUCUUUCGCCCGUGGUCAAGCCGCGACGUGGGUCGUGGUGAGGGUAGUGGGUAAAGAAGCGCCGGCUAACUACGUG